rnacentral:rRNA from 1 species
UAGGGAAUCUUCCGCAAUGGGCGAAAGCUUGACGGAGCAACGCCGCGUGAGUGAUGAAGGUCUUCGGAUCGUAAAACUCUGUUAUUAGGGAAGAACAAAUGUGUAAGUAACUAUGCACGUCUUGACGGUACCUAAUCAGAAAGCCACGGCUAACUACGUGCCAGCAGCCGCGGUAAUACGUAGGUGGCAAGCGUUAUCCGGAAUUAUUGGGCGUAAAGCGCGCGUAGGCGGUUUUUUAAGUCUGAUGUGAAAGCCCACGGCUCAACCGUGGAGGGUCAUUGGAAACUGGAAAACUUGAGUGCAGAAGAGGAAAGUGGAAUUCCAUGUGUAGCGGUGAAAUGCGCAGAGAUAUGGAGGGACACCAGUGGCGAAGGCGACUUUCUGGUCUGUAACUGACGCUGAUGUGCGAAAGCGUGGGGAUCAAACAGG